ACAUUGGAGAGUUUGAUCCUGGCUCAGAGUGAACGCUGGCGGUAGGCCUAACACAUGCAAGUCGAACGGCAGCACAGGAGAGCUUGCUCUCUGGGUGGCGAGUGGCGGACGGGUGAGGAAUACAUCGGAAUCUACUCUGUCGUGGGGGAUAACGUAGGGAAACUUACGCUAAUACCGCAUACGACCUACGGGUGAAAGUGGGGGACCGCAAGGCCUCACGCGAUUGAAUGAGCCGAUGUCGGAUUAGCUAGUUGGCGGGGUAAAGGCCCACCAAGGCGACGAUCCGUAGCUGGUCUGAGAGGAUGAUCAGCCACACUGGAACUGAGACACGGUCCAGACUCCUACGGGAGGCAGCAGUGGGGAAUAUUGGACAAUGGGCGCAAGCCUGAUCCAGCCAUACCGCGUGAGUGAAGAAGGCCCUCGGGUUGUAAAGCUCUUUUGUUGGGAAAGAAAUCCUGUUGGCUAAUACCCGGCGGGGAUGACGGUACCCAAAGAAUAAGCACCGGCUAACUUC
rnacentral:rRNA from 1 species